rnacentral:sRNA from 1 species
UAUCUCUCCGUACGGGGAAGGAUGAGAAGCUUCGACUAAGGUUCGAUUCGAGCGCAGCGAGAAAGCGUUGCCGCAGGCAACGACCCGAAGGGCGAAGCGCGCAGCGCUGAGUAAUCCUUCC